CGUGCACUCCGGGCCGGCUGGGGUGGUAAGACGGGGGGUGAUAGGGUUAAUGUGAAUGAAUGGGGGUAGAGGCGGCGGAGGCGGCUGGGUAAGUCGAUUGUGAAAGCCCCGGGCUCAACCUGGGACUUGCAGUCGAGACUGCCUGGCUAGAGUGGGGGAGAGUGCAGUGGAAUUCCCGGUGUAGCGGUGAAAUGCGUAGAUAUCGGGAGGAACAUCAGUGGCGAAGGCGACUGCCUGGCCCAACACUGACGCUGAGGUGCGAAAGCGUGGGUAGCAAACAGGAUUAGAUACCCUAGUAGUC
rnacentral:rRNA from 1 species